rnacentral:rRNA from 1 species
AACCAGCUCUUCAAGUGGUCGGGAUGAUUAUUGGGCUUAAAGUGUCCGUAGCCGGUUUAGUAAGUUCCUGGUAAAAUCAGGUAGCUUAACUAUCUGUAUGCUAGGAAUACUACUAUACUAGAGGGCGGGAGAGGUCUGAGGUACUACAGGGGUAGGGGUGAAAUCUUAUAAUCCUUGUAGGACCACCAGUGGCGAAGGCGUCAGACUGGAACGUGCCUGACGGUGAGGGACGAAAGCCAGGGGAGCGAACCGGAUUAGAUACCCGGGUAGUCCUGGCCGUAAACGAUGCAUACUAGGUGAUGGCCCGGCCAUGAGCCGUGUCAGUGCCGUAGGGAAACCGCUAAGUGUGCCGCCUGGGAAGUACGGUCGCAAGGCUAAAACUUAAAGGAAUUGGCGGGGGAGCACCACAAGGGGUGAAGCCUGCGGUUC